rnacentral:rRNA from 1 species
GACGAACGCUGGCGGCGUGCCUAACACAUGCAAGUCGAGCGGAGAGAUUGUCGUAUUUAUAUGACAUGAUCUUAGCGGCGGACGGGUGAGUAACACGUGGGUAACCUGCCUCAAAGUGGGGGAUAGCCUUUCGAAAGGAAGAUUAAUACCGCAUAAGAUUGUAGCAUCACAUGAUGCAGCAAGAAAAGGAGCAAUCCGCUUUGAGAUGGACCCGCGGCGCAUUAGCUAGUUGGUGAGGUAACGGCUCACCAAGGCCACGAUGCGUAGCCGACCUGAGAGGGUGAUCGGCACAUUGGAACUGAGAUACGGUCCAGACUCCUACGGGAGCAGCAGUGGGAAUAUGCACAAUGGCGAAAGCCUGAUGCAGCAACGCCGCGUGAGUGAUGAAGGCUUUCGAGUCGUAAAGCUCUUUGAUCA